CUCAGCCGACCAGACGGCGGUGGGAGCGAGGAACCCGGUGGGAGUCCGGGGCGGUCGCGCCACUGUGAAAGCCAGACACUCCACCACCGGCCGUGAUGUCUC
rnacentral:ncRNA from 2 species